rnacentral:lncRNA from 1 species
CCUAAUGUAGGCCACUCAACCUUUUGGCACCUCAGUUUGCUCAUCGGACAAGUGGGACCAGUAAUGGCUGCUGCAAUGCUUGAGUUGUGGAGUGAACCCCCCCCCUUUUCUUUUGCUUUUUAGGGCCACACCCACGGUAUAUGGGAGUUCUCAGGCUAGGAGUCAACUUGGAGCUACAGCCGUUGGCCCACACCACAGCCACAGCAACACAGGACCCAAGCCACAUCUGCAACCUGCACCACAGCUCACGCAACGCUGGAUCCUUAACCCACUGAGCAAGGCCAGGGCUCAAACCCACGUCCUCAUGGAUACUAGUCAGGUUCACUACCCCUGAGCCAUGACGGAAACUCCAUGGAGUGAACUCCUUAAAAAUGCCGAUGUCAUUUAAUGCCCAAGAGAGUUUCCUGAGGGAGGUAGCAUCAAACCUUUCUAAAGCAGCAGGAACUGAGACACAGAGAGGCAGUGUCUUGUCCCAAAGCCUAUCAGAACUCAAACCCACAUCUGGCUUGCUCUAAGUCCUGUGUUCUUGUUAUAUUACUUCACAGUGACGCUGAACUCAAAGGCCACAUCCCUGUCCCCCCCUGGGGUGGGGAAAGCACACGGUGGCUCUCUGAUCAAGGCUCAGGGUGCCCUGUGUCCUUGGUCCCCCCAGAAGUUCCAGCCAAGGCCAGCUCUGGUUCCUCGGGGCCAUGCGCUCUGCUGUGGGAGCAGGUCCUGUGAGCUUGGUUGGGUCAGGGGUCACCCAGAAAAUAACCACCUUCCACUUCCUUUAAUUAUGCAAACUAGAGCGAGGUGACUGAGAUCUUGCCUCUGGUCUGCAAGACACAGGGAGUUUUGCAAGCCCCAGGGAGUGCAGAAUUUCCUGAAGAUGUUGCACAGGGGCUGGCUUUUGCUGAAGUCGUACAGUAUUCUCCUUUGCUUUGGUUAUGACUGCAGAGGUGCUGGGAAGCCGACUGGAGAGCAGCACCAUGGAGCGGCCGGCUCCUCUCCGUGGGAGGCGCCGCCCGCUCUUUGAGAGGGAAGGGCUCGGCUCUGCUGCCUUGGGCUAAAAGCACUGUGAUCCAGUUCCACCUCCUGGCUCCUUCAUUGGUAAUUGGUUUUCCAAAAUGCAAGGAUUUUUGCUGACCAACAGGGACCUGAAGGCUUGAAAAUUUAGACAGCAGAGAGCUAGGUGGCUGAGAUUUUACAAAAGUCCGUAUUUUGCUAGUUUAAUCUGGGAAAGGACGCACAACCCAAAGAAUAGGAGCCUUGUUGCAGAAGAACCAAUUUCAUUCACCAGGGUAUUUUACCAGUAGUCGCGCUGGGCACCU